rnacentral:lncRNA from 1 species
GAGCAUAGACGACUAUGCUACUGCAUUUACUAAGAAAAUGAAGUUGUUUCCGUACCUUGUGCCAACAGAACUCUCCAAGAUAGAGAGGUUUGCUAAUGGACUGCCUGCCGACCUUGGUCCGACAGUCAAGAUGGCAACUACUCUGAAAACGGUUGUUCGUGCAGCUAAGAAUGUGGAGGCCCAGCAGAAGGAAAAGGGUCUGGAAAGGAUAGAUGUUGGAGAAAAGAGGAAGUUCGAUGGAACUUUAGGGUCCAACAAGAAAAACAAGUUCUCGAAGUCUGGUUCGAGGGGAAGUGGAGGUGAAGCGAAGUGGUGCGACAAAUGUAAGAAGAAGCAUCACGGAAGAUGUGAGGUGGCGAACACAUGCUACAAGUGUGGAAAGCCAGGGCACUAUGCCAAUGAAUGUACCCUCACUAAGAAAGUUUGCUAUGGUUGUGGUGAGGAGGGACACAUGUCGAGGGACUGCCCGAAGAAGAAGGAGGCAACUAGACCCAACAUUCCACCAAAGCCAAAGGCGAGAGCAUUCCAGAUGACACUGGAAGCUGCUAAAGAUGAAGCUGAUGUCGCUUCAGGUACCUUUCUCGUUAACGAAUUGCCUGCCCAAAUUUUAUUUGAUUCUGGAGCCAACUACUCCUUUAUAUCGCAUGAAUUUGGUAGAAAGCUAGCUUUGCCUGUUGUUAGACUAGAUGAUGCCUUAUUAGUCGAAGUUGCUAGUGGCAAGUUUGUACCUGUUAGCCAUCGUAUGAAAAACAUCUUAAUUGAUCUGAAUGGGAAUAAGUUCCACGAGGAAUUAUUGCCUAUAGAACUUAAUGGUUUCGACAUCGUGCUUGGAAUGGAUUGGCUUAGCGCCAAUGAUGCCGAAAUUUUAUGCAAGAAGAAAAUAGUCAAAGUAAACCCGCCUGGGAAAGAUUCGUUUAUGGUGUAUGGGGACAAACGCAGAGUGAAUUCUGGAAUCAUUUCAUUGAUGAAAGCCAGAAAAUGUUUGACCAAGGGGUGUACAUCAUAUCUAGCAUUCGUGAUUGAUGCUAAGAAGGAAAAGAAGGUGAUGCAGAAUAUUCCAGUUGUGUGUGAUUAUCCGGAAGUAUUUCCCGAAGAUCUUCCUGGAUUACCGCCUGAUCGACAAGUGGAAUUCCGUAUUGACUUGUUGCCAGGAACAACGCCAAUUGCGAAAGCACCUUAUCGAUUAGCACCGACGGAGAUGAAGGAGCUAAUGAUGCAACUUCAGGAGUUAUUGGACAAAGGUUUCAUUAGACCUAGUUCAUCACCCUGGGGAGCUCCGGUGUUAUUUGUAAAGAAGAAAGAUGGAAGUAUGAGAAUGUGCAUUGAUUACAGAGAGCUGAACAAGGCAACAAUAAAGAAUAGAUAUCCGUUGCCGAGGAUUGAUGACCUGUUUGAUCAAUUGCAAGGUUCGAGCUAUUUCUCGAAGAUCGAUCUUAGGUCAGGAUAUCAUCAGCUAAAAGUAAGAGAGCAAGAUAUCGAGAAGACUGCAUUCAGAACUAGAUAUGGACACUACGAGUUCUUGGUUAUGUCGUUUGGACUAACCAAUGCUCCAGCAGCGUUCAUGGAUUUGAUGAAUAGGGUUUGUAACCCGUUCCUUGAUAAAUCCGUGAUAGUGUUCAUAGACGACAUUCUGAUUUACUCGAAAAGCCAGGAGGAGCAUGGCAGACACUUGCGAGAAGUGUUAGAAGUUUUGAAGAAGGAGAAGCUGUAUGCUAAGUUCUCCAAAUGUGAUUUUUGGAUUCGUGAAGUCCAAUUCUUGGGUCACGUGGUCAACCAAGAAGGGAUAAUGGUUGAUCCAGCGAAGAUCGAAGCUGUGACGAAGUGGGAACAACCGAAAAGUCCCACGGAGAUUCGAAGCUUUUUAGGAUUAGCCGGAUAUUACCGAAGGUUUAUCCAAGGCUUUUCUUCGAUUGCUACUCCAUUGACAGCUUUGACCCACAAAGGAGCUACUUAUGCUUGGAGUGAGAAGCAUAAAGAAGCAUUCGAGAAGUUAAAGAAGAAGCUAUGCGAGGCACCGAUACUUUCUCUACCCGAUGGAGUUGAAGACUUCGCUGUUUAUAGCGAUGCGUCUGGUGUUGGAUUGGGUUGUGUUUUGACCCAAAGAGAAAAGGUGAUAGCAUAUGCGUCUCGACAGCUGAAAGAGCAUGAAAAGAAUUACCCGACUCAUGAUUUGGAGUUGGCAGCGGUAGUUUUCGCUCUGAAAAUAUGGAGGCAUUACCUCUAUGGCACGAAGUGCAAACUUUUCACUGAUCAUAAGAGUCUCCAAUACCUCUUUAAUCAGAAAGAAUUGAAUAUGAGGCAACGACGCUGGCUAGAAUUACUUAAAGACUAUGACUGCGAGAUACUUUACCACCCCGGUAAAGCUAAUGUUGUUGCUGAUGCUCUCAGUCGGAAAGUCAAUCUUGAAAGGAAGAGGCCAAGAGCGUUGAGAAUUGAAGUUGUCUCGACUAUUGUGGAAAGUAUAAAGAAAGCUCAAGAGGAAGCUUCUGAGAAAAAUGACCGAAAGGAGGAACGUUUGGGUAAAACGUUGGUGUUUGGUACUAACGGUCAUGGACUGAAGGUAUUCCAAGAUCGUAUUUGGGUACCUAAGUCAGGAGGAAUUAGGGAUCUUCUGAUGGAAGAAGCUCACAAAACCAUGUACUCAAUUCAUCCGGGUAGCACUAAAAUGUAUAGGGACCUGAAACCCUACUACUGGUGGCCGACGAUGAAGCUUGAUGUUGCAAAGUAUGUGGCCGAGUGUGUGACUUGUGCGAGAGUCAAGACACAACAUCAGAAACCUUACGGGAGUUUAGAACCAUUGCCUGUGCCUAUGGGUAAGUGGGAAGACAUUGCUAUGGAUUUUGUCACUAAACUGCCCAGAACAAAGAAUGGUCACGACAUGAUUUGGGUGGUCGUUGAUCGAUUCACUAAGAGUGCGCAUUUCAUAGCGGCCAGGGAGAAAUGGUCUAUGGAAAAGCUUGCGAAUUCUUACGUGAAGGAAAUUGUGAGGCUUCACGGUGUUCCGUUAACGAUUGUAUCGGAUCGUGAUAGCCGUUUCACCUCAAGGUUUUGGAAAAGUCUACAAGAGGAAAUGGGUACCAAGUUAUGUUUAAGCACAGCUUACCAUCCGCAGACUGAUGGUCAGAGUGAAAGAACAAUACAAACACUUGAAGAUAUGCUGAGAGCAUGUACCUUGGAAUUCCUAGGUAAUUGGGAUGAACAUUUACCGUUGGUAGAAUUUUCCUAUAAUAAUAGUUUUCACUCGAGCAUUAAGAUGGCACCUUAUCAAGCUUUGUAUGGACAGAAGUGUCGUACGCCGUCUUGUUGGCUUGAGGCUGGGGAAAAGCAGUUUAUGGGACCGGAGAUGGUUCAUCAAACUGCUGAAAAGUUGAAAAUAAUUAGGGAAAGAAUGUUAGCAGCUCAAGAUCGUCAAAAGAGCUAUGCUGACAAGAAGCGAAGACCGAUGACUUUUGAGGUUGGAGAUUCGGUUUUGCUUAAAGUCUCGCCGUGGAAGGGACUUAUAAGAUUUGGUAAAAGGGGAAAGUUGAGUCCAAGGUUUAUUGGACCGUUUAAAGUCCUUCAGAGGAUUGGGAAUCAAGCUUACAAGCUCGAAUUACCCGAAGAACUGAAUGGAAUUCACAACACCUUUCAUGUGUGUUAUUUGAGGAAGUUCACGGGAGAAGUUCCCGAUAUAAUUCCAAUUUCUGAAUUGAGAAUUGAUGAGAACAAAAGGUUGAUUGAAGAACCAGAGGCAAUUGUUGACCGAAAGACUAAGAAGUUGCGACGCAAAAUGGUUGGGUUAGUGCUUGUCCGAUGGAAACACACGAAUGGGCCGAAUCUCACCUGGGAGACGGAGAGUGACAUGUUGAGUCGCUAUCCGCAUUUGUUUGUUGAUGUGUGAUUCCGGGGACGGAAUCAUUCUAAGGUGGAGAGAAUUGUAACGCCUGUGUUUCCGGGCUUGCCAUUUUUAGCAAUGUAAUAGUCUAGGUUAACCUUUGUAACCCGUUUUGAAAUAAUAAGAUUGUAUUAUUUGAGUAUUAUGUGUUUUGUGCUUAAUUGCUUAAUUAUGUGGUUUGAUUAAUUAAGAAUAAAAAUAAGCGUCAAAAUUUAAGUGUAAAAUAAACUUAAUAUCUUUGGUUAAUGUUGUAGUAGUUGAAACGAGGUUUCCGAAUAUAUAUAGAACGCCCAAAUCUGACUUCGUAUGAGGAAGUUAUGAUUUAUCGAAGUUCCGGCUUAGCGAUAUACAGCCUGUUUUACUCGAUUUGAGAUCGAGCGGUUGUUAGCCGAAGCAAUCUAAAUGAGAAUCGAAGAUCUCAUUGUUGGUAUUGAAACGAUAAAAAGUUAGGCGAGAACGGACGUCAAACGAAGAAGUUAUGAAUUUAUAACGAAAGUUUCUGUCCCGGCCUAUUAAAAAUAAUUAAUAAAAAUAAAGUCAAAAUUAGCCGACGGAGUCUAAACGAAAGUCGUAGAGCGUGGUCUCACCUUCGCGUGGAUAUAAAGAACGUCGAAAACGGAGUUCGUAUGAAGAAGUUAUGAAUUUCCGAAGUUUAUUAAUCAUUUUGUAUUUAUUUUUAAUUCAAAAUUCGGAAGCAUUAUCCGAAGGAGUCACCGAUCUGAUCCGAGGUACGCCCCGCGUACUCGAGUACGCCCCGCGUACUCCGAGGGAUGUCGACACUCGCACUCGAGCACUUCGGAUACGUAAGCAAUGACGUUUUGGGCAGUACGCCCCGCGUAACGCAGUACGCCCCGCGUACUCCGAGGCUCCAGCCUCCUAUAAAUAGGAUGCGAGGGUUCCGGGUAUUUUUGCCAAUUCCCUCUCGUUUUCGUGUCGAAGCUCUGUGCAAAAACCCCCGAAGCUACCCCGAAGUCCCGGUAUCAUACUCUAGCCCCGAGGCAAGUCCCGAGAUCCUGAAGAUCCCGAAAAGUGCGGUUCCCGAGUCGAAGCUCUGCCCGCGAGAAGUUCGAUUUUCGAGAAGAUCUUCCAGAUCUGCUGUGGAUUACUACUUCUAUAAGCCGUAGUGCUGUCCGAUCAUCUUCUGAUCAAGUGAGUGUGUAGUUAUUUCUUCUAAUACAAUAAUACGAAGUAUUUUAUAUAAAAAUACGUGCUAUGUGUAUAUAUUUGGUUGUGUUAUGUGUGAAUGAGUAUUCACUCUCUUCUAUCUUAUAGAUCUGCUUAUUUCUUUAUGAGAUAUGUGUUAUGUGUGUGUGUGCCUCAUCUGUUAUGUGAUAUAUGUGUUGAUUAAAGCAUGCUAUACAGGUUUUCUUUAAACUAUGUAUACAAAUGUAUAUUUUUAUCUACUAAUAUGUUGGGUAGAACAUGGGUAGACAGUUGGUGUGUAAUAAACAGAUGAGAGGCCUCGUUGUUGUUUGAUUGAGUCAUCUAGCGGAGUUUAGAUGACGACCACUGGCUAUUCUAGACAGUCUUGUGGAAACAUUAGCAGGUUCGCCACCUGUAGGUGUUAAUGAACUUGGGUGUUCAUUCGCUGUACUCCAUCCCCCUCAUGGUUGCCUUAUUUGACUUAUAUUGCUGAGGUACCCCCGAAGCAUGUGUUGUCGCCCCGAUGAAAUAUUCUUAGACUAGGUCCCUUAUGUUAGUUGUUUUAGGGACAUUAAAGUGAGAAUAACGGGAAUGGGUAAUUGGGUUAUUGUUGGUUGGUGAAAAUUAAAUAUGAUAUUUAUUGUGGGUUGAAAACCCUAUAUGCUCACCAGGCUCCCAAGCCUGACCCACUCAGUUUUAAAUUGUAUUACAGGUAGUGGCGGAAGGGCAUGAGAUGGAUGAACCAUCAAGUUGUUUUGUUUACAAGUCUGCAUAUGUUUAUAUUUGUUAUAUGACUUGUAAUGUAUUCGUUUAUGCUUAUUGGUCUGUAUCGGAACAUGACACCCCGAGUUUUGAUUAUAAUGAAAAUACAUUUCUUUUAUGAAAUGCUUCGGUAAACAAUGUUUUAUCAUGUUUUGUUUUUGGGAACAAAUUCCGCAACUCUUUCAAAUCAAAAGGAUUUACUCUGAAAAUAUUUAAAAGCAUAAAUGAAAAUCGGUCUUUUCUGGCCGAGAUUUUGGGGAUGUCACAGUUGGUAUCAGAGCAUUAGUUUAAGCGAACUAGGAAUUUGUAGGAUUUCUAGACUUAAACUUAGAAUGCUAAGUGAAGUUUUGAGAUGUGUGUCUGUUGUGAUUUAGACACGAGCACUAGUUUAUUUUAGGAAAGUUGCCUAAAAUGCUUUAUGUGCUAAAUGUUAUAUGUUGCCAUAUAUGAUAUUAUUUGUUCGGAUCUAUGGUCUGUUGCCGACCGGAUCUAGAAACCUUAUGUGUGUAGGAUUCUAAGCGUACGUCUACGAUAUUAGAACUAGCAUGUAAACGUUUCGGAGUGAUAAGGAUGAUUUGAAUAUCUAUCAUGAUUGAGGAUCUAAUUUCACCUUAUUCGGUGUAGAUCAAAAUGGUGAGAACAAGAAGUGGAGUUGGAAAUGCUGACGAAAACAGGAAUCAACCACCAGUGAUUGAGCCAAUACCUGUCGUAGCAGCAGCACCUGAGCCAAUAACCAUGGCUGGUGUGCAAUUGAUGAUUCAGACGAUGUUGGAUCGUCAGAUGGAUGAAACUAGACGGUUGCUUCAACAAAAUCGUGAAGAACUGUCGAUUCGUGUGGAAGAGCCUGAACUGAAUGAAGGGCACUCGGAAGGUGGAAACUUCAGUGGGUCUGUUGGUCCAGCCAACCCACCGAUAGUUAGGCAAGAUAACCAUGAUGGAAGGAAUGAUGGAAUGGGAUGCAAGUACAAGGACUUUUUGACUUGUAAACCAUCGACCUUCAAUGGAAAGGAGGAUCCGAUUGGGGUUAUGGAUUGGAUCUCCGAAAUGGAGUUAGCCUUUAUGACAUGUGGCUGUAGAGGCAAGUUGCAGACUAUCUAUGCCGUGCGACAAUUCCGAGGUGGAGCCGUUCGUUGGUGGAACACUCUAGGGAAGACCUUAAGCCCUAAUGAGCCACUGCAAUUGUCAUGGGCAGAGUUCUUGGUGCAGUUCAAGCGCAAGUUCUGCUCGGCUCAAAAUCUGUUGGAGUUGGAGAACAAGUUUUUGACAUUGACGAAGGGUAGCAUGUCAGUGGAUGAGUACACCAAUAACUUCACCGAUAAGAUGGAGUUUGCCUUGCGUAUCGUUCCAGACGAGCUGACAAAGGUGGAUCGGUAUGCGAAGGGACUUCCAUGGGAGUACGAGGUGCCGGUACGUCAGGCACUUACUCUAGAGGCAGCUAUCUGGGCUGCCAAGUCUGUGGAGAACAUGAUCAAGGGGAGAACCACCGUCAAGGUUGAGGUUGGUGAGAAAAGGAAGUUUGAAGGAACAUCUGGUUCCAGUAAGAAGAGCAAAUUUUCGAAAUCUGAUUCGAAAAAGUUUGGAGGAAAAGGAGGCGAAGCAAAGUGGUGUGAUAAGUGUAAGAAAAAGCACUUUGGGAAAUGUAGCGAGGAUGUGACCUGCUACAAGUGUGGAAAGGUUGGACAUUUUGCCAAUGAAUGUCCGAACAACAAAAGGAUGUGUUUUGGGUGUAAUGAAGAGGGGCAUAUUUUGAAAGACUGUCCGAAGAAGAAGGAGGCAGCUAGGCCCAACAUUCCACCAAAGCCGAAGGCGAGAGCCUUCCAGAUGACACUUGAGGCUGCGAAAGAUGAAGCUGAUGUCGCUUCAGGUACCUUUCUCGUAAACGAAUUACCUGCUCAUAUAUUGUUUGAUUCUGGAGCCAACUACUCCUUUAUUUCGCAUGAGUUUGGUAGAAAGCUAGCUUUGCCUGUUGAUAGACUAGAUAAUGCUUUAUUAGUCGAAGUAGCUAGUGGCAAGUUUGUACCUGUUAGCCAUCGUA